GUGAAUCAUCAAAUUUUUGAACGCAAAUUGCGCCUUUUUCGGAAGGCAUGUCUGUUUGAGGGCACCAUUUAACAAAUAAUGUGCAGCGUUUUUGCUGCCCACGUUGAUGAGCUUUCCAAGAAUUUUAAAUUUUUGGUGGCGCCUAAUGAACAGCGGUAAAGUUUUUUUCAGUUCGGGUGUAGUAAAAUCUUUGCUUGGGUUGUGGAAAAACAUUAUUCGGCAAUGGGUGUGGCCAUUUCUUUUUAACCCUGCCCCAAUGCCCACUUUUUCCACGG
rnacentral:misc_RNA from 1 species